AGUGGCGAACGGGUGAGUAACGCGUGAGCAACCUGACCUUUAGAGGGGGAUAACACUUGGAAACAGGUGCUAAUACCGCAUAAGACCACGACCCGACAUCGGGAUGAGGUCAAAGGAGUAAUCCGCUAGAGGAGGGGCUCGCGUCCCAUUAGAUAGAUGGCGGGGUAACGGCCCACCAUGUCGACGAUGGGUAGCCGAGCUGAGAGGCUGAUCGGCCACACUGGAACUGAGACACGGUCCAGACUCCUACGGGAGGCAGCAGUGGGGAAUAUUGGGCAAUGGGCGCAAGCCUGACCCAGCAACGCCGCGUGAGGGAAGAAGGCCUUCGGGUUGUAAACCUCUGUCCUUGGUGACGAAAAAAAUGACGGUAGCCAAGGAGGAAGCCCCGGCUAACUACGUGCCAGCAGCCGCGGUAAUACGUAGGGGGCGAGCGUUGUCCGGAAUUACUGGGCGUAAAGGGUGCGUAGGUGGCCUUUUAAGUUGGAUGUGAAAUACCCGAGCUUAACUUGGGGGGUGCAUCUAAUACUGGGAGGCUAGAGUGCAGGAGAGGGAAGCGGAAUUCCUAGUGUAGCGGUGAAAUGCGUAGAUAUUAGGAGGAACACCAGUGGCGAAGGCGGCUUUCUGGACUGUAACUGACACUGAGGCACGAAAGCGUGGGGAGCAAACAGGAUUAGAUACCCUGGUAGUCCACGCGGUAAACGAUGAAUACUAGGUGUAGGGGGUAUCAACUCCCCCUGUGCCGCAGCUAACGCAAUAA
rnacentral:rRNA from 1 species